CGCAAACCUCAAUUCUCUUUCCUCUUUUCUUUCCUUCUCUCCAUCUGUUACUGUUUUCCUUCUCUGGUCGUCUCUCUUCAUCUUCACCUCCCCUAACCCUAGCCGCCACCACAGUUCCUUCUCCCUUCAAUACAACUCCUUCUCCAUUCUCUCAGAUUUAACAAUUUUCUGUCUCUUCUUUAUGGCACUUCAGAUUCAGUUAUUUAGAUUUGUUUGCUCAUGGCUUCCAAUUCGCAAAAGGAUAUUCCUUCUGGUGAAGCUGGUGUGUGAAUGUAAAGGUGUUCUACACAAAGUGCUCCCUAAAAUUCAACAGAUGAGAUUUCAAUAAUGGUUAGGGUGGCAUUGCACAGAUGAGAUUUCAAUAAUGGUUAGGAAGAUACCUUGUCGCAGCUGUAGAGAAUGUUGUCUCCAUACUUGAUGUCGAUACAGAAGCAUGCCGAUAUUCACUAAGGAUAUGUGAAAAAAGAAAUUUAAGGUCUCUUUUUCCUACUCUUUCCAAGAGGAUGCUGAUUUUAUUGAUUGAGUAUAUUAUAGGGUCUCUCAAAUUUGUUCCAUUUUGAAGAAUGAAAGAUCAAAUUGAUCACUAUUAUUUUCAAUCACCAAUUUAGACCUUUACUGUAAUAGUUGUUUGUAAGUAUAUACUAACAUAUUUGUUUGUAAAGCUGCAUGGAUCAUAUGUCAUAUACCAUCUGCCUACCAUUAUGAUGAUUUCUACUUGGAAUAAUGACUUUGAUUUGUGGUCUCCUUGGUCUUCCUCCUUCAAAUGGAGUCCUUCCACAGUUCCCCAUGCAUACAAAGAGUUUGGCCGUUCUUAGGAGGCAGCUUAUCUGAAAGAAGGUUGUGAAAAGCGCCAAGGAAUGCAUGGAACAACACAAUACCAGCUCUGAGUUAUACGGGAAAAUACAAGUUGUGUUCUUUGAAAUGGAUACAGCCCCUAGCGUAUGUAUUGUUGGAUUAUUAGCUCUGUGUGUGUAUCAUUUGGUUGAUCCUAAUACAUUUCGUGUUGGUUUUCAAAUCGUAACAGGUUAAAGAAUUGGAGACUUUGAAAGCAGCUGUAAUGAAAUAUGAUACCAAGGCUGGUGUAAUGGAACCUUUUGUUUUUCAGCUUGGUUUGAAUUUAGAAAGGGUAGCUGCAGGUUCUGGAAUUGUUUGGGAUUUGGGGGCUGAUUCAGAUUAACGUAAGGGGAUGAUAUGCAGCUGAGUUUCGGCUUACGGUUUAUGCUGCGGAAUUGUUGGUGCAGCUCGAUUUGGUUGAUCUGAUGAUGAGGGAGUGAAUUUCUGGUGGACUGCGUAGGGCUGGUUAUAUGUGUAGUAGAUUGCGCUUGUCAUGGUUGGAGGAUACCCAUCACCUCUCAAAUACCAUUUCUUUCCAAAAUCUUGCUGCAUGUAGGUGUUUUCUUUCUGUACAUAUUUCAUUCUUCAUAGUCUGUAUUGGUGUUUAUCAAGAACAAACUUUGCUCUCUCUAACAGCAAAGAAGGCUAUUCUGUUGAAUCAUCGUUUUCAGUUACAAAAGUCCUUAAAAUGUCAGAUACGAAGUCAAAGCUUGACUGUUGAUCCUCGAAUGUUGAUACGACCUAACCCGACAAAGCAUGAGUUGUGGGAGUAGACAAUUCAAGCCUAAUGGGCUGCUAACAGAGCAUACAUACAUACUAAAGAGAUUCAUGAGAAUUUGAUAUAGUACACAGUACUUUGUUUUAUAUAUGUUACUAAUAAAUAAAACAAUUUAUAAUGUAGAUUUCUUCUUAUAUGCUCCUUUUCCCCUCAAUUUUCACAGUAAAUAAGUGACAAAAUUUGUAUUGUAAUAUGUUAUAUUCAGUAAUAUACAGUGUAGAUAAUAGAAAGAUAACAGAA